CCAGAGAACUUUCCAGAGAUGGAUUGGUGCCCUUUCGGGAACUCUGAGACAGGUGCUGCAUGGCUGUCGUCAGCUCGUGUUGUGAAAUGUUGGGUUAAGUCCCGCAACGAGCGCAACCCUUAUCCUUUGUUGCCAGCGGUUAGGCCGGGAACUCAAAGGAGACUGCCAGUGAUAAACUGGAGGAAGGUGGGGAUGACGUCAAGUCAUCAUGGCCCUUACGAGUAGGGCUACACACGUGCUACAAUGGCGCAUACAAAGAGAAGCGACCUCGCGAGAGCAAGCGGACCUCAUAAAGUGCGUCGUAGUCCGGAUUGGAGUCUGCAACUCGACUCCAUGAAGUCGGAAUCGCUAGUAAUCGUGGAUCAGAAUGCCACGGUGAAUACGUUCCCGGGCCUUGUACACACCGCCCGUCACACCAUGGGAGUGGGUUGCAAAAGAAGUAGGUAGCUUAACCUUCGGGAGGGCGCUUACCACUUUGUGAUUCAUGACUGGGGUGAAGUCGUAACAAGGUAGGCGUAGUGCU
rnacentral:rRNA from 1 species